rnacentral:rRNA from 1 species
GGACCCGCACAAGCGGUGGAGCAUGUGGUUUAAUUCGAAGCAACGCGAAGAACCUUACCAGGUCUUGACAUCCCUUGCUAAUCCUAGAAAUAGGACGUUCCCUUCGGGGACAAGGUGACAGGUGGUGCAUGGUUGUCGUCAGCUCGUGUCGUGAGAUGUUGGGUUAAGUCCCGCAACGAGCGCAACCCUUAUUAUUAGUUGCCAGCAUUCAGUUGGGCACUCUAGUGAGACUGCCGGUGACAAACCGGAGGAAGGUGGGG